GGAAAAGCAUAGGCAAGUAAUACUAUUGGUCUAUAAAUCAGUUUGUACCAGAAAUUUCGUACUUUUGCAACUUUUACACAGGAACAAUGGAGUACUUCACAAUUUCGCACAAAAAUAUAUACAUCUUAUCUCAGAUGGGGGAAAACUGAGAUGAUGAUGAUAUAUGCAUGACAUUAAGGGGGAAUAAUUCAUGGCCAUCACUGUUGAGAAAUAAUGUUUAAGCCAUUCGACCUCAAUUAAUUGGAUAAGCAAUGAUUUGCUGAAACCUGUUGAACAACACAAAAUCUUCACGUUAGCUUUACCUUCUCAUUGAGAGAGUUCAAGGAUCUCUCUCACAUCAGAAGCCAUAGGAUCCAUUGCAGCCUCUGUUACGCUGUCAUCCAUUGGAGGCAAUGGACGAUAAUAUAAGCUAUGUUCUUCCUUUUCCAAACCUUUAAACACCCACACCUGACUGCUACAAGCUGGGUCCUUGAACGACGUUUAGAUAGUGCAUUUACAGAAUGAACAUUGCAACCAAAAGAUAAAACAGAGGCUGGCCAUCAGACUUUCAAUAGACAAUAGGUCUUUGCGCCCCAUAGAAAUCAUAUAAUUGACCCAUUUUCUUCAACCACUAUAGUUAUGACCUCUGCAAGCAUCACUAAUCACAGAAAUUAGUACUGACAUUUAAUUCUCAUGGCAACUAAGAAUACAUCAAAACUUCUUGCUUAGCAUUACAUAAUCCAAAUUUUCAAAUUAUGCGUAUAUUCCAGAAGACAAAGGAAUAUAAUACGCUUAAUAGUAUUAACCCCAAUGUAUUUACUGUUUAACAAGACUGUCCAAUAAAAUAAGAAUUAAAAUUGACCACGGACAUACAAUUCCAAAUUAUUGGAUGAAAAACACAAUUAUUUUUUACCAAGAAAAAUAUUUACAGUGCUGAGAUACAAAAUAUUUUACGUCAAGAGGAAUUCUCAAAAGAGCUACACGAUAGCCUAGUCGGAUAAACAUUUCCAAAAUCAUUUUUCCACAGAAUAACUACAAUAGAAAAAGUUUCCAGCAACGAUUUUUUUCACUAAUGGUAAACACACGUAAAUCGAUUUCACUUAACUAUGACUGAGAAACAGAUGUUCCAAAUAUUCGAACAAAAACAGAAGAGGAAAGCAACUAGGCUGUCUACAAUAGAACAUAAAUAAAAAUCAAUUAUUGUUCACAACUGAAUAAUUAUUCUUUACGAAUAUUCUGCACUGAGGAAAUCUGUGGCUUAAUCCUUGCAUUCUAUCUCUAAUCGACCAAAUCAGGGUUAAAUAGAAAAGUAUAAAAACCUAUCAAAAUUGAACACUCUUCUUUCUUGGGUUAGAAUAGAAUACAAACCCCUAACUCCGGAAUGCCUCGGAUUAUGACGGAAGAGAGUAGCACCGUGCGAUAAAAUUUUGGUAGGUAAUUGAACGAUUGUUGAAUGAUUGAAUGGUUGCUUGAACGGGGAAAGCUGAAAGAGAAAGAGUAAGUAGACGAUAAGUACAAUUAAUUCAAAUUUUCAUUUCGCUUAUUCCCUAACGCCACAUAGAUUCUCCAGCCAGGCUGAAUAGCAUUACUCAAGGUGAAAAUAAAUUGAACUGCAGGGGGAGGUUUGGAACCUCUAGAGGGAGAAGAGGGAUAAUUUAGUCAAUAGCGACUAAACUUUAGUAUAAGUUACUAAUUGUUCAUUAAAUUUUGCUAUAAAUUAUUAUUCCUCACUGAAAUUUAAAAUACUACUCAUUACUCACCCAAAUUCAAACAAAAUUACUCAUGGUUCACUGAACUUUGGAUGAAAAUGAUAAUGAGUUAUUGAUGAGUAAUCUUUG
rnacentral:lncRNA from 1 species